rnacentral:rRNA from 1 species
UAGGGAAUCUUCCGCAAUGGGCGAAAGCCUGACGGAGCAACGCCGCGCGAGUGAUGAAGGUCUUAGGAUCGUAAAACUCUGUUAUUAGGGAAGAACAAACGUGUAAGUAACUGUGCACGUCUUGACGGUACCUAAUCAGAAAGCCACGGCUAACUACGUGCCAGCAGCCGCGGUAAUACGUAGGUGGCAAGCGUUAUCCGGAAUUAUUGGGCGUAAAGCGCGCGUAGGCGGUUUUUUAAGUCUGAUGUGAAAGCCCACGGCUCAACCGUGGAGGGUCAUUGGAAACUGGAAAACUUGAGUGCAGAAGAGGAAAGUGGAAUUCCAUGUGUAGCGGUGAAAUGCGCAGAGAUAUGGAGGAACACCAGUGGCGAAGGCGACUUUCUGGUCUGUAACUGACGCUGAUGUGCGAAAGCGUGGGGAUCAAACA